AGGUGGGGACGCCUCUUGAGCAGGGGCGCAGGGGUGGGGGCUAGAAACUUUGCGGAGAAGAGGACCAUCCCGGUGGCUCACUCCCAGGGAGAGAAGAGCACCGGCUUCCCGCGCGAAAAUCUGGUCCAGAGAAAGGGAUCCCGGGGCUGUGGCCGCCCCACCCCAGCCGGCCCCGCGCUGCGCCCACGUGCCGGGCCGACCACCUCCCCGGGCCGCGGCGCGGGGCGAGGGGUGGGGGGGAACCAGACAGCCAGGCCCCCGCGGCGCUCCCGCCCUCCCUCCGGACCCCACGGGGACCGGCCGCCGCGUACUCACCCUCGCGGGUGGAGCGGGGCGGGGCACGACACUUCCGCGCACAGCUCCGAUCCGCUAGGCGCACGGGCUGGCGGCGCGGCGCUGGCGCUGCAGCUCCGCUCGGCCGGGUCCCUGUCCCGGGCGCGGGGCCGGCCUGGGAGCGGAAGGCCCCAGGCACGCUGUCGCCAGGGGAAACCCCAUCAGUCUCCUGACCCUACUUCCUUGGGCUCAGACAUCCCCCAUCAAGCCUGGAAACCGCGCAGGCCCAGAAACCGUAGUCCAGAAGUUACCCCCAGGAAACCCACAGCCCCGGAGGCACUCUCUUUCAUAGCACGGGGAUCCGUAUUCAACAGAGACUUGGAGAGUGGAGCUUACAAGUCCCACUGGUUCCCAAAUGUGAUUUUCCUCCGUUUCGCGAAGGAAUGUUGACAAAUCCAGGACACUCAGCAGUUUUGUUCUAUGAGGAAACUUUUGGGCAAAAUGAAAGGAGCCAAGGAACAAUAGCAGUCAUGCUUCCUUCCUCUGCCGAGGAGACAGUAGGCCAAGUACUGGGGGCUGACAGCCAGUUGUGGACACGUCCAGGAUUCUUCUGGGAAGGGUGACAUCUCUCACUGCUCCAGCAGAGCAGGGACACAGGCACGCAAACACAGAAGUGUUCUUUGCAGCACACAGGACAGAGGUAUCAUGCUGCCAGAGAGGGGCUGGCGUUUGCUAGCUGGGGAAGGUGUGGUCGAGAGAUACUGGAUCUUGCUUAGGAAGCUUUCUCAGGGGAGGCAGGAUGUGGGGUUCUGCAAAGUGACAUCAAGAGGAAAGCUAGGGCACGGGUGCCUGGGUGGUGCAGUCAGUUGAGCGUCUGACUCUUGGUUUCCACUCAGGUCAUGAUCUCAGGGUGGUGAGAUCGAGCCCCGCGCUAGGCUCUGAACUCAGUGUGGAGUCUGUCUGGGAGUCGCUCCCCCCACUCCCUCUGCCCCUCCGCUCAUGCUCUCUCUCUUUCUCAUCUCUCUAAAAUAAGUAAAUACAAAUCUUUAAAAAAAUAAACAAAUAUGUUCAUAGCUGCAUUGUCCACAAUAGCCAAAUCAUGGAAGGAGCCGAGAUGCCCUUCAACAGAUGACUGGAUUAAGAAGCUGUGGUCCAUAUAUACAAUGGAAUAUUACUCAGCUAUCAGAAAGAACGAAUUCUCAACAUUUGCUGCAACAUGGACGGCACUGGAGGAGAUAAUGCUAAGUGAAAUAAGUCAAGCAGAGAAAGACAAUUAUCAUAUGAUUUCUCUCAUCUAUGGAACAUAAGAACUAGGAUGAUCGGUAGGGGAAGAAAGGGAUAAAGAAAAGGGGGGUAAUCAGAAGG
ensembl:lncRNA